GGUGAACGCUGGCGGCGUGCUUAAGACAUGCAAGUCGAACGGCAGUCUUCGGACUGUAGUGGCGCACGGGUGAGUAACGCGUAACUGACCUACCCCAAAGUCGCGGAUAACGAUUCGAAAGAAUCGCUAAUACGUGAUGUGCUGUCAGAUUGUGUUCUGCCAGUAAAGAUUGAUUGCUUUGGGAUGGGGUUGCGUUCCAUCAGCUAGUUGGUGGGGUAAAAGCCCACCAAGGCGACGACGGAUAGCCGGCCUGAGAGGGUGGCCGGCCACAGGGGCACUGAGACACGGGUCCCACUCCUACGGGAGGCAGCAGUUAGGAAUCUUCCACAAUGGGCGAAAGCCUGAUGGAGCGACGCCGCGUGAGGGAUGAAGGUCUUCGGAUCGUAACCUCUGAAUCAGGGACGAAAGACACUUCGGUGGGAUGACGGUACCUGAGUAAUAGCACCGGCUAACUCCGUGCCAGCCGCCGCGGUAAUAC
rnacentral:rRNA from 1 species